rnacentral:rRNA from 1 species
CCUACGGGAGGCAGCAGUGAGGAAUAUUGGACAAUGGGCGCAAGCCUGAUCCAGCCAUGCCGCGUGCAGGAAGAAGCAUCUAUGGUGUGUAAACUGCUUUUGUACGGGAAGAAACACUCCGACGUGUCGGAGCUUGACGGUACCGUAAGAAUAAGGAUCGGCUAACUCCGUGCCAGCAGCCGCGGUAAUACGGAGGAUCCAAGCGUUAUCCGGAAUCAUUGGGUUUAAAGGGUCCGUAGGCGGUUUAAUAAGUCAGUGGUGAAAGCCCAUCGCUUAACGAUGGAACGGCCAUUGAUACUGUUAGACUUGAAUUAUUGGGAAGUAACUAGAAUAUGUAGUGUAGCGGUAGAAAUGCUUAGAUAUUACAUGGAAUACCAAUUGCGAAGGCAGGUUACUAUCAAUAUAUUGACGCUGAUGGACGAAAGCGUGGGGAGCGAACAGGAUUAGAUACCCUGGUAGUCCACGCCGUAAACGAUGGAUACUAGCUGUUCGGAGCAAUCUGAGUGGCUAAGCGAAAGUGAUAAGUAUCCCACUGGGGAGUACGUUCGCAAGAAUGAAACUCAAAUGAAAUUGACGGCUGAGACGAGCGACGGACGACACGAGGGAGGAGG